AGAGCGAACGCUGGCGGCAUGCUUAACACAUGCAAGUCGCACGGGCACUUCGGUGUCAGUGGCGGACGGGUGAGUAACGCGUAGGUAUCUAUCCUUGGGUGGGGGACAACGGUUGGAAACGACUGCUAAUACCGCAUGAUAACUGAGGUUUAAAGGCACAAGUCGCCUGAGGAGGAGCCUGCGUACGAUUAGCUAGUUGGUGGGGUAAAGGCCUACCAAGGCGACGAUCGUUAGCUGGUCUGAGAGGAUGAUCAGCCACAUUGGGACUGAGACACGGCCCAAACUCCUACGGGAGGCAGCAGUGGGGAAUAUUGGACAAUGGGCGAAAGCCUGAUCCAGCAAUGCCGCGUGUGUGAAGAAGGUCUUCGGAUUGUAAAGCACUUUCGACAGGGACGAUGAUGACGGUACCUGUAGAAGAGCCCCGGCUAACUUCGUGCCAGCAGCCGC
rnacentral:rRNA from 1 species